rnacentral:tRNA from 1 species
UCGGGAUAGCUCAGCUGGUAGAGCAGAGGACUGAAAAUCCUCCGUG